AUGGGAGAAUUUGUCAGUGUUCAGGACUUUUUGGGGCCACCCCACAGAGGCAGCGCCUCAGCGGGCGGACCUGGUCCUCCAUCCCUGUCACUGUCCCUGUGUUGUGACCCUGUGUUGUGUCCCUAUCCCUGUCACUAUCCAUGUUCCUGUCACUAUCCGUGUUCCUAUCCCUAUCUGUGUCCUUAUAUGUGUCCCUAUCCCUGUCCAUGUCCCUGUCCUCACCCCCCCCUUGCCCAUCCCCACCCCGCCGCCAUUUUGUGCCCUCACCCCCCCACCCAACGGGCGCGCGCCCCCUGGCGGCGAGGGGGCGUGGCCAGGCGGGAGGGGGCGUGGCUCGCGAGGCGGGGGGCGUGGCUAAAGGCAGCGGGGGCGGCGCGGCGCGGCCGUCUCCCUCCGCCGCGCGCCAUCGGCGGGGUCGGGCGGGUGCUGCGGCGGCGGUGGCGGCGGGAUCCUUCCGCGCCGUGCCGAGCCGUGCGGGUCCGGCCGUGGCCAUGGCCCCCGGAGCGGGGCCGGCGCUCGCCGCCCUCCUCGGCACGGUGCUGGCCGUGCUCAGCCGCGCCGAGCCGGCGGCCGGUGAGUCCCGAGGGAACGGGAGAAGGGGUCCCGGGGGCGGGGGAGGAGCGGCGGGGGGCGGGUGGGGUCCCCCCGGUGUCCCCUCGAUGUCCCCUCGAUGUCCCCUCGGUGUCCCCUCGGUGUCCCCAAGGGCUCCUCGGGGCUGGUGGCGGCGGUGGUGGCGGCGCGGUGCUGGGGUGGGUGGGUGUGAGGGCUGCGCGGAAAACCCAGCCGAAAUCUUUAAAAAACAACAACAAAAAAAAAAGCAAUUUCCUGCACGCGAUUUGCCCGGGUUUGCCCCAAAAAGGAGCGCAGGGCUCAGGCUGUGCCUGGCGUGCAGCUGGGCUCUGCAGGCCGGCAGGAGGGCGAGUGGUUGGAUUUUGGGGCAAGGCAAAAUCCCAGAUUUAUCUCUUCUUCGAGCCGUGCCUCGGUGCUGGCGGCCCCCGGCUCCUCGUGCUGCACGGUGCCCGCCCGAGCUCUGCCCCUACCGAGGGGCUUCGUGGCACCGUGCUGGGGUUUUCCCCCUUUGCUGGAGGAGCGGUGGCUGUAAGAGGUGGCAAACCCACGCUGGAGACACCCCUGCUGCUCCCCAGCCUCUGGCCCAAGCGCUGGGAGCGGAGCCGUGGCCUGAAUGAAUGA
rnacentral:lncRNA from 1 species